UGAGAAGGCUUUGGUUGAACGUGGACAGUGCGAUGUUCCAAACUUGGUUCAUAAUAAACAGCCCAUUUUUGGAAUGACACCACCAAUUCCUUCUUUAUCUUUCGGAAAAGAAGAUGAAUAUUUUGUGGAGGAAGAUGGGUGGACUCAGAUUUUGUCCCAACUUCAAAUUAGUUCAAAGGAACAACCCUGCUCUUCUCUUUUCUUCAUUCUCUACCACUCGGGCUUCUUACAACACUCUCGUCUCUGAGAAUGAUUGAAGUUAUAUGGGG